rnacentral:tRNA from 1 species
AAAACUUUAAGUUAAAUUUAAACUAUUAAUCUUCAAAAUUAAAAAUAUUAUUAUAAUAAUAAGUUUUU